CCGGGUGUAGCCUAUCGGUUAGGCACUUGGUUUGGGACCAAGGUCAGGCUGGUUCGACUCCAGUCACUCGGACCA
rnacentral:tRNA from 1 species